UAAUGCAAGUGGUGCCGGCUGACCCCUUGCAACCCAGAUAGUAGCCCGGAAAUGCACUUCCUGAUCUGUAUUUUAAGGUCUUUUAUAAACAUAACGGAAGCAUAAUAUUGAGUGAGGAACACGUCUAAAAUUAAGGCUUUCCUAUUUAUAGGGCUCUUUAUAACUUUUCCAUCCUAAAACUAAAGCUAUUCAAGGAGGGGAGAGAGGCUCAAGAAGCAAGUGAUAUACAAAUAUAAACUACAUAUGUAAGUAAUUAUGGCUAAUUUGGAUUGUCGUAUGGCAGAAACCAACAGAAAAUGGAAAAACAAUUUUUCCCGAUGAAAAAAUUUUUGAAAGAAAUGAUACUAAAGCUAUUUGAAUGCCUUUUUGUAUGCAAAGACCUAGUUCCACAUUACUCUUUUCAGUUUUUCAGCAGAAUUCGAAAAUUGGCGUGACAAGAGGUUUAGACAUCUUUUAAAAAUUGCGUUCUAGAAACAUCUAUUUAUGUAUGUGUGUACUGCUCACUAGCCUUCAUUUAAUUGCCAUACUUUGAAAAAAAUUUGUUCUGGAAGGAAUUGUUUUAUUUUUUGCUUUGAGACCAAUAUUUUAUGUUUUGUGUUUUUAUUCAUUACGGAAUCUGAGCUGUGUGUCCUCCGGUUGAUACUCGAAGACUCAAAGGGAUCAUUCAGCAGCUGUGGAACUUUUUCUAUUCUGCCAGAAUGUUCAUGGGCUCCUCUGCCUGCAGUUGCAGCAUGAAGACCGCCUGAAGGCAGAGAGCGGCGGAGUCAUCAGGAAGGGGAACCCUCUCCAGGGCCCUAGAGUGGGCUCACACGUGCUGACAAAGCAAGAGACUUGGCUGGAGGGGCGCCCGGGAGGACAGC